UCUCCGUUGGUGAACCAGCGGAGGGAUCAUUACUGAGUUCUACAAAACUCCCAACCCUUUGUGAAUUAUACCUUAGUUGCCUCGGCGUCGAGCGAGUCACCUACCCGGGAGCUACCCUGGAGUCACCUACCCUGUAGAACCUACCCUGUAGGACCUACCCUGUAGACGGCUACCCUGGAGCUACCCUGUAGUUGCACUUUUGCGUCGCCGGUGGACUACCAAACUCUUAUAUGUAUAGUGUAUCUCUGAAUUCUUAACAAAAUUAGUUAAAACUUUCAACAACGGAUCUCUUGGUUCUGGCAUCGAUGAAGAACGCAGC
rnacentral:misc_RNA from 1 species